AAAUUGAAGAGUUUGAUCAUGGCUCAGAUUGAACGCUGGCGGCAGGCCUAACACAUGCAAGUCGAACGGUAACAGGAAGAAGCUUGCUUCUUUGCUGACGAGUGGCGGACGGGUGAGUAAUGUCUGGGAAACUGCCUGAU
rnacentral:rRNA from 1 species